GUUGCUGUAGAGUUCAGGUGGUUGGUGGUUUUGCUUCAACGAGCUAAAAGCUCCUUCAAUCUGCAGAUUUUCCUGUCUGAAAAAGUCACAUUGACUUGAAAUUGUACAGAGGUAAAUCUGUGACGAAAUGCGACGUCAGGGUUUUUUGUUUGCUUUCUUCUUUGUAGUUGAGAUGCGGUUUCCACACUUGUCACAGCAACAAAGGCAGUGGGUUCGAUCCUCUUCAGGAUCGCUUUCUGUCCAUCCGAAGCCACUCAGGCGCUGCUCUCCAACCAUCUGCCAUGAUGGGUGGGUCAGAUAUAGUUCCUCCUCUUCUGCUCACUUUGAUGCACUUUCUUCUUUUUCACAAAAAGGGAUGCAAACAUAGUUCUUCGGUUCAUCAUGUCUGAAUGUUUUUAUUUGCACUUUAACUCUUAGUCUGAUUGGCUGAUUGUCCGGGUUGUUCUUGUUACGUCAUCUGCCGAUUGGGUUUGUUUUUAUCUUUCUGUUAUUGAUUCACCUCAUUUCAAGGAAAAUUUUUUGAGAUCUCAAAGUUGCUGGCCAGCGAUAAACUGAUUAAACGUUUUAGUUUACCAUAAAAAAUACUGAAAUUUUAAACAUUUGGAUUUGUUUGUAGCCCUAAUAGCAUGUGAAAGCUAGCGUUAGCUUUACGUAGCUUCACUUAGCUUUGGUUUAGCUGCUGUUUGGAAAAUGACGGGAGCAUUUUGUAGGUACUGUUAGCAUAACCAGGCUAAUGCUGUGGAUUAUUUAUAACAGUAUUACAAUGAAAACAUGUAACUUUCAUGAAAGUAAAGGUGAAAAGAUUUAAAGUUUAAAAAAAAAAAAUCAAACAGCCACGUGUGAGAUGGAUCAGUCUGUGACGGCGUGAUUGGAAAAAUGCUAUAUGCUGGUUAGCUCAUGGGGACGCUAACUGUUUGCGCCUUUAAAUGUACAAAUAAAGUCCGAAUUUCCCUCCAGCCUGGUUCUGUGUGGACGACAUUAAAGCUGCUUUGUGGACUUCAGCUCGAUUUAGACGCCUGCUGGUUUCCUCAUUGGCGUUUUUGGCACAUUGUUACGGUUUGUAGCCAAUUGCACCUUACUACUUAUUUAUUUUUAUACAACUCUUUUAAUGAUCUGGUUUGAAGAUGUUGUAUGUGAAUGUGCCUCAUUUAAUUCACCUCCAGAUAAUCAACAAUAAACCCGAACUUCAAAUGAA